CAUAUACUCCCUCCGUCCGAAAAUACUUGUCGAAGAAAUGGAUGUACUUAGAUGUAUUUUAGUUCUAGAUACAUCCAUUUUUAUCCAUUUUGGCGACAAGUAAUUCCGGACGGAGGGAGUAUAUG
rfam:Triticum aestivum genome assembly, contig: Triticum_aestivum_CS42_TGACv1_scaffold_577499_7BL